GAACGAGUUCUCGUUGAUGAUCGGUGCUUGCACCGAGAUUCAACAUGGAACGAGUGGCGGACGGGUGAGUAACACGUGGGUAACCUGCCCUUAAGUGGGGGAUAACAUUUGGAAACAGAUGCUAAUACCGCAUAGAUCCAAGAACCGCAUGGUUCUUGGCUGAAAGAUGGCGUAAGCUAUCGCUUUUGGAUGGACCCGCGGCGUAUUAGCUAGUUGGUGAGGUAAUGGCUCACCAAGGCGAUGAUACGUAGCCGAACUGAGAGGUUGAUCGGCCACAUUGGGACUGAGACACGGCCCAAACUCCUACGGGAGGCAGCAGUAGGGAAUCUUCCACAAUGGACGCAAGUCUGAUGGAGCAACGCCGCGUGAGUGAAGAAGGCUUUCGGGUCGUAAAACUCUGUUGUUGGAGAAGAAUGGUCGGCAGAGUAACUGUUGUCGGCGUGACGGUAUCCAACCAGAAAGCCACGGCUAACUACGUGCCAGCAGCCGCGGUAAUACGUAGGUGGCAAGCGUUAUCCGGAUUUAUUGGGCGUAAAGCGAGCGCAGGCGGUUUUUUAAGUCUGAUGUGAAAGCCCUCGGCUUAACCGAGGAAGCGCAUCGGAAACUGGGAAACUUGAGUGCAGAAGAGGACAGUGGAACUCCAUGUGUAGCGGUGAAAUGCGUAGAUAUAUGGAAGAACACCAGUGGCGAAGGCGGCUGUCUGGUCUGUAACUGACGCUGAGGCUCGAAAGCAUGGGUAGCGAACAGGAUUAGAUACCCUGGUAGUCCAUGCCGUAAACGAUGAAUGC
rnacentral:rRNA from 1 species